UACGUAGGGGGCUAGCGUUGUCCGGAAUCAUUGGGCGUAAAGAGCGUGUAGGCGGCCCGGUAAGUCCGCUGUGAAAGUCGGGGGCUCAACCCUCGAAUGCCGGUGGAUACUGUCGGGCUAGAGUGCGGAAGAGGCGAGUGGAAUUCCUGGUGUAGCGGUGAAAUGCGCAGAUAUCAGGAGGAACACCGGUGGCGAAGGCGGGUCUCUGGGCCGAAAUUGACGCUGAGGAGCGAAAGCGUGGGGAGCAAACAGG
rnacentral:rRNA from 1 species